rnacentral:rRNA from 1 species
GACGAACGCUAGCGGCGUGCCUAAGCUAUGCAAGUCGAGCGGGGUUUCAGAGUCGAGUUUCCUUCGGGAGACAAAGCACUGAAACCUAGCGGCGAACGGGUGAGUAACACGUGAGCAACCUACCCUGUUGUCCGGGAUAACAGACCGAAAGGCCUGCUAAUACCGGAUACGAAGCUCCUUCGCAUGUUGGAGCUUGGAAAGGGGCAACCCGCAAUGGGAGGGGCUUACGGCCUAUCAGCUAGUUGGUGAGGUAACGGCCCACCAAGGCGACGACGGGUAGCCGACCUGAGAGGGUGACCGGCCACACUGGGACUGAGACACGGCCCAGACUCCUACGGGAGGCAGCAAGCGGGAAUCUUGCACAAUGGGCGCAAGCCUGAUGCAGCGACGCCGCGUGAGGGAUGAAGGCCUUCGGGUCGUAAACCUCUGUUGAUGGGGACGAAGAUCUGACGGUACC